rnacentral:rRNA from 1 species
UACACAUGCAAGUCGAGCGGUAGAGAGAAGCUUGCUUCUCUUGAGAGCGGCGGACGGGUGAGUAAUGCCUAGGAAUCUGCCUGGUAGUGGGGGAUAACGUUCGGAAACGAACGCUAAUACCGCAUACGUCCUACGGGAGAAAGCAGGGGACCUUCGGGCCUUGCGCUAUCAGAUGAGCCUAGGUCGGAUUAGCUAGUUGGUGAGGUAAUGGCUCACCAAGGCGACGAUCCGUAACUGGUCUGAGAGGAUGAUCAGUCACACUGGAACUGAGACACGGUCCAGACUCCUACGGGAGGCAGCAGUGGGGAAUAUUGGACAAUGGGCGAAAGCCUGAUCCAGCCAUGCCGCGUGUGUGAAGAAGGUCUUCGGAUUGUAAAGCACUUUAAGUUGGGAGGAAGGGCAUUAACCUAAUACGUUAGUGUUUUGACGUUACCGACAGAAUAAGCACCGGCUAACUCUGUGCCAGCAGCCGCGGUAAUACAGAGGGUGCAAGCGUUAAUCGGAAUUACUGGGCGUAAAGCG